rnacentral:rRNA from 1 species
AGAGUUUGAUCAUGGCUCAGAGCGAACGCUGGCGGCAUGCUUAACACAUGCAAGUCUCACGGGCAGCAAUGUCAGUGGCGGACGGGUGAGUAACGCGUAGGUAUCUAUCCUUGGGUGGGGGACAACCACGGGAAACUGUGGCUAAUACCGCAUGAUGUCUGAGGACUAAAGGCGCGAGUCGCCUGGGGCGGAGCCUGCGUUCGAUUAGCUAGUUGGUGGGGUAAAGGCCUACCAAGGCGAUGAUCGAUAGCUGGUCUGAGAGGAUGAUCAGCCACACUGGGACUGAGACACGGCCCAGACUCCUACGGGAGGCAGCAGUGGGGAAUAUUGGACAAUGGGCGCAAGCCUGAUCCAGCAAUGCCGCGUGUGUGAAGAAGGUCUUCGGAUUGUAAAGCACUUUCGACGGGGACGAUGAUGACGGUACCCGUAGAAGAAGCCCCGGCUAACUUCGUGCCAGCAGCCGCGGUAAUACGAAGGGGGCUAGCGUUGCUCGGAAUGACUGGGCGUAAAGGGCGCGUAGGCGGAUUGGACAGUCAGAUGUGAAAUUCCUGGGCUUAACCUGGGGGCUGCAUUUGAUACGUGUGAUCUUGAGUGGGGAAGAGGGUCGUGGAAUUCCCAGUGUAGAGGUGAAAUUCGUAGAUAUUGGGAAGAACACCGGUGGCGAAGGCGGCGACCUGGUCCUUGACUGACGCUGAGGCGCGAAAGCGUGGGGAGCAAACAGGAUUAGAUACCCCCGUAGUCC